rnacentral:rRNA from 1 species
GAUGAACGCUGGCGGCGUGCCUAAUACAUGCAAGUCGAGCGAACAGACGAGGAGCUUGCCCCUCUGACGUUAGCGGCGGACGGGUGAGUAACACGUGGAUAACCUACCUAUAAGACUGGGAUAACUUCGGGAAACCGGAGCUAAUACCGGAUAAUAUAUUGAACCGCAUGGUUCAAUAGUGAAAGACGGUUUUGCUGUCACUUAUAGAUGGAUCCGCGCCGCAUUAGCUAGUUGGUAAGGUAACGGCUUACCAAGGCAACGAUGCGUAGCCGACCUGAGAGGGUGAUCGGCCACACUGGAACUGAGACACGGUCCAGACUCUUACGGGAGGCAGCAGUAGGGAAUCUUCCGCAAUGGGCGAAAGCCUGACGGAGCAACGCCGCGUGAGUGAUGAAGGUCUUCGGAUCGUAAAACUCUGUUAUUAGGGAAGAACAAAUGUGUAAGUAACUAUGCACGUCUUGACGGUACCUAAUCAGAAAGCCACGGCUAACUACGUG